rnacentral:tRNA from 1 species
UGGAAUGUGGUCUAAUUUGCUAAGACGCUUGAUUUGGGUUCAAGAAAUUGUCGGUUCAAAUCCGGUCAUUCCAACUA